CGUUUAAUCUUCCUCUUGUCAACAGGAGCCCAGAAAGUGUAAUAGCAGAACUUUGCUCCUCAGUUCUUGCUGAUGGAGUUCAGAAUGUCAAGGUCAGACAGAACCAUGCUUUCCAAGAUUUGCUACGUUUUAUGAACCGAGCUGAUUAUGGUUGGGACAAACAUCUUGAUGUUUCUUUUGUUGGAGAACAAGGGCUUGAUUCUGGAGGACCUAGGUGCAAUCUAAUGGAACUGACUGUUCGUGGACUGAUGAUCAACUGGGGAGGACUUUGGUGUGGGAAAGAAGGACACCUCAUUCCAGCUCCUGACUUUUUAACAUUGCAGAACAGAUCCCAUUGUAUGGCAGGGAGGAUUGUUGGCACUGUUCUCGUUCAGAGUUCUCUACAGCUCAAUAUUUUUGCAGAAUCUCUGAUCAACACCAUUGCAGGAAUCAACCAGUGGUUUGUAGAGGAUGUUGCUGAUGAAACUGUCCAAAGCAAGCUGAAAGAGAUAUUAGACUAUCGGGGAAGGAGGGACUGGACUGGCGAUCCAGUUGUGGAGAAAAUAGCAGAAAACAUCAGCUUUCUAGGGGAGGUCAAUGAUGCCCAAAAAAAAGACUUCACCCAAGCGGCUGCAAGAUAUUACACUUCGUAGUGAAUCAUGCUCAAAUUGAAGAAUUCAAAGAAGGGCUCGAAACAUUUGGAAUUGCAACAUUGAUAAGAAAACAUCCAGAUGUGAUGUAGUUGCUUUUGUGUGGCCAGAAAAAAGCAACAAUACAGCCUGAUGAAGUAUAUGACAUGUUUGAGGCAGAGCUGUCAGAAGUGGGGUCAAAUCAAAGGGAUUUGGAGGAAGAGGCGAUGAUGCAUUUCAUGCUGUUUUUAAGCAGCUUGACAAACCUAAAUGCAGCAUGUUCCUUGGAGGAUCUACUGAGGUUCCUGACUGGAGCAAAACAGUUUCCCAUUGGUGGAUAUGAGAUUCAGCCAACUAUAGAAUUCAUUAGAGGUUCACAAUUCCCAACUGUAAGCACCUGUGGUCUUGUUUUGAGGCUGCCAAUCGGCUUGACAGAAGAACAAUUCAAAACUAAUUUUGAAUUUGCUGUCCGAAGCUGCCAUGACUUUUCCUUUGUUUAGUGUUACCAGUGUGACUGUUGACAUUGAUGUCCAGGACAGAGAGGGCCAUAUCCACAAUCUGUUUUAAAAAGACUACACUUAAAUGUUUAAGUAUAGAACCAUGUACAUUGUCAUUCCCCGUGACUUUUAGGUUACU